UAUGUGCUGCUUUUGAGUCACUUCAAUCAUUAGAUAGAUCCAGCAGAAUGAAAACUGAUGAUUUGGAAUCAGCUUUCACAAUCCGCAAGGCUUCAGAGACUGACAGUAAUGCAG